UACGGAGGGUGCAAGCGUUAUCCGGAUUCACUGGGUUUAAAGGGUGCGUAGGCGGGCAGGUAAGUCCGUGGUGAAAUCUCUGAGCUUAACUCAGAAACUGCCAUGGAUACUAUUUGUCUUGAAUAUUGUGGAGGUAAGCGGAAUAUGUCAUGUAGCGGUGAAAUGCUUAGAUAUGACAUAGAACACCAAUUGCGAAGGCAGCUGCUACACAAUAUUGACACUGAGGCACGAAAGCGUGGGGAUCAAACAGG
rnacentral:rRNA from 1 species